AAAACUUUCAACAACGGAUCUCUUGGUUCUGGCAUCGAUGAAGAACGCAGCGAAAUGCGAUACGUAAUGUGAAUUGCAGAUUUCAGUGAAUCAUCGAAUCUUUGAACGCACAUUGCGCCCGCCAGUAUUCUGGCGGGCAUGCCUGUUCGAGCGUCAUU
rnacentral:rRNA from 2 species